rnacentral:lncRNA from 1 species
AUGUGGAAAUUUGUUUUACCUGAUUAUGUAUAUUUAUUUAUAGGAGUUUUCUUCCUUCCUCCCUUCCUUUCCUCCCUUCCUUUCCUCCUUCCUUCCUUCCUUCCUUCCUUCCUUCCUUCCUUCCUUCCUUCCUUCCUUCCUUCCUUCCUUCCUUCCUUCCUUCCUUCCUUCCUUCCUUCCUUCCUUCCUUCCUUCCUUCCUUCCUCCCUUUCUCCCUCCCUGCCUCUUUCUUUCUUUCCUUCUUUCUUUCUUUCUUUCUUUCUUUCUCUUUCUUUCUUUCUUUCUUUCUUUCUUUCUUUCUUUCUUUCUUUCUUUCUUUCUUUCUUUUCCUUCCUUCCUUCCUUCCUUCCUUCCUUCCUUUCUUUCUUUCUUUCUUUCUUUCUUUCUUUUUCUUCCUUCCUUCCUUCCUUCCUUCCUUCCUUCCUUCCUUCCUUCCUUCCUUCCUUCCUUCCUUCCUUCCUUCCUUCCUUCCUUCCUUCCUUCCUUCCUUCCUUCCUUCCUUCCUUCCUUCCUUCCUUCCUUCCUUCCUUCCUUCUUUGUUUCCAUGAUUCAUUUUUAAGCACUUUACAAAUAUCAUCUCAUUUGAUCCUCAAAACAACUCUUCAAGGUAGGUACUAA